rnacentral:rRNA from 1 species
CGGCGGACGGGUGAGUAAUGUAUGGGGAUCUGCCCGAUGGAGGGGGAUAACUACUGGAAACGGUAGCUAAUACCGCAUAACGUCGCAAGACCAAAGAGGGGGACCUUCGGGCCUCUUGCCAUCGGAUGUGCCCAGAUGGGAUUAGCUAGUAGGUGGGGUAACGGCUCACCUAGGCGACGAUCCCUAGCUGGUCUGAGAGGAUGACCAGCCACACUGGAACUGAGACACGGUCCAG